CAAUAGCGUAUAUUAAAGUUGUUGCGGUUAAAAAGCUCGUAGUUGGAUUUCUGUCUGGGAUGGUCGGUCCGCACUUUGUGCGUGCAUCUGAUGCGUCCUCGGCAUCCUUCUGAAGGACAUUGUACUUUAUUGUAUGAUGGAUUUCAGAACUUUUACUUUGAGGAAAUUAGAGUGUUCACAGCAAGCAAGCGCUUUGAAUACAUUAGCAUGGAAUAAUAAUAUAGGACCUUCAGUACUAUUUUGUUGGUUUCUAGAGCUGAGGUAAUGAUUAAUAGGGACAGUUGGGGGCGAUUCGUAUUAACGCGUCAGAGGUGGAAUUCUUGGAUUGCGUUACGACGAACUACUGCGAAAGCAUUUGCCAAGGAUGUUUUCAUUGAUCAAGAACGAAAGUAUGGGGAAUCGAAGACGAUCAGAUACCCGUA
rnacentral:rRNA from 1 species